rnacentral:rRNA from 1 species
AUUGAACGCUAGCGGGAUGCUUUACACAUGCAAGUCGAACGGCAGCGCGGACUUCGGUCUGGCGGCGAGUGGCGAACGGGUGAGUAAUGUAUCGGAACGUCCCCAGUAGCGGGGGAUAACUACGCGAAAGCGUAGCUAAUACCGCAUACGCCCUACGGGGGAAAGCAGGGGAUCGUAAGACCUUGCACUAUUGGAGCGGCCGAUAUCGGAUUAGCUAGUUGGUGAGGUAACGGCUCACCAAGGCGACGAUCCGUAGCUGGUUUGAGAGGACGACCAGCCAAACUGGGACUGAGACACGGCCCAGACUCCUACGGGAGGCAGCAGUGGGGAAUUUUGGACAAUGGGGGCAACCCUGAUCCAGCCAUCCCGCGUGUGCGAUGAAGGCCUUCGGGUUGUAAAGCACUUUUGGCAGGAAAGAAACGUCGCGGGCUAAUACCCCGUGGAACUGACGGUACCUGCAGAAUAAGCACCGGCUAACUACGUG